UACAGAGGGUGCGAGCGUUGUCCGGAAUUACUGGGCGUAAAGAGCUCGUAGGUGGUUUGUCGCGUUGUUCGUGAAAACUCACAGCUUAACUGUGGGCGUGCGGGCGAUACGGGCAGACUGGAGUACUGCAGGGGAGACUGGAAUUCCUGGUGUAGCGGUGAAAUGCGCAGAUAUCAGGAGGAACACCGGUGGCGAAGGCGAGUCUCUGGGCCGUAACUGACGCUGAGGAGCGAAAGCGUGGGGGAGCGAACAGG
rnacentral:rRNA from 1 species